UAUGGGCUAAACCUCUCAAAUACUCAAUAAUAUUACGGUCCCUGAAAUGUUGAACUAAAUUUAAAAUGCGGUCUGAUGCUUCGACAUAUUUUUUUUUUGAUGGUGGUGGUUCAUGGCCUCCAACAAGAAACUCAUAAUACAGAUCUCUUUCUGCCUGAACUUUUUUCAAUUCAAUUAUAAACUGCCAGAUCGUCGGAUGAUUCAUGCUGAGCUGUGCUUGCAGUCGCCGAUGAGAAGCUUCUGCUACGUUGUUUGUUUUCUAUUUUAAACAAAACCAAUUCAAUUAAGACUCUAUUGUACAAGUUCCAUGUCUCAAUCGGAAAUGCUGGUACCCUCCUCAAGCCUUCUCUUCUCAAUAUUCCGAUAUAAUACAUUUCCAGCCAAUCUAAAAUUGGUUGUAAUGUAGGCUCUACCCGUUCCAACUCUUCACUUAAUAUUUCAAAGCUUUCAACAACGUUUAUGGGAGGAACAAACGCCAAGGCAGUUAUCAUACCUUACGCCAUCAAUCCCGCAGUUCCAAUUUGUUUCUUCAAAUUCUGAAGAAGAUGGAAAAAACACCCACGAAUUUCUACUUCAGGAAAUUCGUUCCUAAACGCGUUGUGGAUCGCUAGUUCAAAGUCCACAGAGACACUUCCUACGUUGAUGCCUGGCGAUAAAUUUUUUAUUUGUACAAGCAAAUUAUUGUAUGUUGCUUGACUUUUAUUGGGCAAUAUGGCAUAAACACAUGGAUGUACACCUCCAUUUCGACAUCCUAAUAUUACGAACACUUGAGAAAAUAGUAUGGGAGCUAUUUUGAAAGUCCCAUCUACAAACCAUUGUUCAGAUGUUGAUAAUAUCUAAAAUGAAUCCAAAAAUUAGAAAUUCUUAAAAAUGAAUUGGUUUUAUUAUUAAGACGGAGAUAAUACUAUCAAAAUGAUUUAAGAACAUACUUCUAAACCUCUUUGACGACCGAAUAAAAGAAUUCUAUUAUUCUCAGGGCCAGUAUCACAUAAUAAAAAAUUCUCAAAUACUCCUGGUUCGACUUCAUACUCCUUAAAACUGUCAGGGAUAUCUAAUUCAAAUAAUGUUAAAGGGGCAACAGGAAUUUGUGGCCCAUUUUGACGUCUUACCCGUCGCACAGUUUUUUUUAGUGUGUUUAUAGAUGAUAAGGCUCCUUUACCAGCAACAGAUAACCCAUCUAAACAAAUUAAUACAUUAUAGUUUAAGUCAUAAUACAUACAAAUAUGCAAUAUACAUGCAAAUAUAUUUAUAAUAUUUAUAUUAAAUUAAUUUUACUUAA